ensembl:lncRNA
CGGGCGUCGUCGUGGAAAUGACCGGACCAAGGUGCAGCGUGGUUGAUGUAAAUACGAUGACAAGAGAGCGUACGGUGGCGGUUGUGACAGGGUUGGAGAAAGGAGGUUCACACCGCUGGCCCCUUGCGGUAUUCUUCAACCUUCUUGACCUGGCUGCAAUCAACGCAUAUGUUUUGUUCACGCAAUGCACCGCUAAGACAGUGUCAACGAGAGAUUUCAUCAUGGAUCUGGCAUUCGAGCUUCGCGAGAAGCACAUGAGGGCCAAUGCCGCACCGCCUCCUCCCCUCCCACCCAUCCAGGACACAGUCUGUGAAACGAAGACCCACAGCAAGGUGCGCAGAUCGACACGGAACAAGGCUCCCAAAAGCUGUGGGUAGUGCAACGGAUUUGCUAGUGGAUCUUGCGCACGCAAAUGUCCAGAACAACAGAAGACGAGAUAUUAAUUCUUGCGUUAGGCUAAAGGCGCAUAUCCCAAAGGCACAAGUUACAGUCUCCAGUGAAUUAACAACCGAGUCUUUGUUAUAGCAUGGAUAUAUUGCCACUAAUUCUCCUGUAUGCAUGUAAAGUUUCAACAUUGUGUUUGCACCCUACCAAUUGUGUUACAAAUAAAAUGCAGAAACUUGAUAACAUUGUUUUUUAUUCAAAGAAAAAUUAUAACACAAAACAGGUUUUACACGAG